CCUAAAUAUUACCAGCAAUCCAACCCAAUAAUCUCAACUCUCAAUUUCACAAUAAAUGAACAAACAACAUCCAAAAUCCAAAAUCAGAGUAUACAAACAAGUACAACAUCUCAGGUUCAAUAAAAUUCUUUGUUCACAAAAUCAGAAUUCAGUUCAUCAGAGUUCAGUUCAUCAGAGUUCAGUUCAUCAGAAUCAAUGAAAUCCCAAAAUUAUUUCAUAACAGUUUCAGAGAGUAGAGACUCAGAGUUCAGUUCAUCAUAGCACAGUUCAUCAGAAAUAAUGAAAUCAAAAAAUAAAUUCAUAACAGUUUACUCAGAGUUCAUUCAUCAGAAUCAAUGAAAUCAAAAAAUAGAUUCAUAACAGUUUACUCAGAGUUCAGUUCAUCAGAGCACAGUUCAUCAGAAUCAAUGAAAUCAAAAAAUAAAUUCAAAACAGUUUCAGAGAGUAGAGACCCAGAGUUCAGUUCAUCAGUUCAGUUCAUCAGAAUCAAUGAAAUCA